CACAAUUGGUUAACGUUCUUCAUAGAAUCCCACACCCUACCUUUUCAUUUAUUAACAUCCUGAUUUUCUUCUUCCCAAACACGCCUAAUCAAUAUUUUUCACUUUCCAAUGAAGCAUGCUUGCCGAUAUCCACAUCUAAUGAGGCGGCUAAGUUCAACGAUCCAAUCUUCUUCAUCAUCUAUAUUAAUUCAAACAGUCCUAAACCCUUACAUAUAUCAUUUCCCUCACUCAUCAAUAUUCCAACAUUUCUCAGCAACAUGUGUGCAGAGCCGAUUUUGUUGGUGGUGAUGGAUUCCAAAGUUAAUAGUUAUUUUAGGGUUCUUUGUGAUAUUUGUGUAUUUUAGGAUUCUUUGUGAUAUUUGUGUAUUUUAGGGUUCUUCUUCAGAUGAAACUAUCUAUAGCUCUGUGCCAUUCAAUUCAAUAUCCAAACACAUUAGAAUCUGAAAUGUGUAUGAUUCGGUGCUGAAAAUUGUUGGAUCUGCUUUUUUUGCAUCAGUUAAAGUUCAAUUCAUCGAGUUUUUAAUGUGAUUCUGUUUCUGAUUUUUGUGUGAUUUUGUUAUUGUUUUAGGUUUGAGUUCAGAGAGACUUUCAAGGUUAUCUUCCCAAUCGUUGAACCACCAUCGCCUCAGAUGAAACUAUCUACAGCAUCCUCUCAUACCUCUCCCCUAUCCUUAAUCAAGAUAGAUACAAGUCUUUGUAUUUAUCCGAUGAUAUUGUAGAAGAGGAUGAAGAGGAGUUCCUUUUACUAAGUAUCUCCUCUUCUGUUCCUUUUCAUCUUCUGCUAAGGAUUUAUCAAGAAGAAUGAUUUGCAGAGAUGCUUCCAGAAGAUUUUAUGCAGAACAAGGGUUGAAUAUGUACUGUUUCAUUUCACUCGGAAGCCGUUGUUGGUGGCGGUGGUGGAUUGCCAUCUUACAUACAUGGAGCUGUUUAUUGGGAACCUAUCAAACCUCUCACCAUUGAAGAGUUUCACAUCCCUCACAAAUGUUGUGUAUAGUAUGGGAGGACUUGCUUAAUAAUGUGUUGUGUGCAAAUGCACUGGCUAUAUUACCAAGCUCAAUGCCAUAUAGGAGUCUGCAAUUUUAGGAUACCUUGCUUUUACUGCUUAUCAUGCUAUGGCUCAUGCGGAGGAAAUGCGUUCGGGUGAUUAUGUUGCUGUUAUUGGUACUGGUGGAGUUGGUUCUAGGUGAUUAAGUCUAUUGUUAAACAGAUGUCAUGUUUUUAAAUAUUUAUUUAUCUGUGAUUACUUCCUCUUUUUUUUUUUUUAUCUUCAUACACAUAUUUUUACCAUUAUACAAAUUGCUUAUAAAAUCAAAUUAACUAUGACCAAAUUAUCAUUUUGAUUUAAUAACAUGAAAUAUGUUAUAUUUCUUAAUAUAAUCCAAAAGUUAAAACAGUGUAAAGUAUUAUAAUUAAAAUUAUAACAAUAGUUGAAACCGUGUAAUCAAUUGUUACUAGCAUAUAACCCAAAUGAUAAAUUUACAAUUUCUAAAAAGUAG